rnacentral:rRNA from 1 species
UACAGAGGCCUCAAGCGUUGUCCGGAGUUACUGGGCGUAAAGGGUGCGCAGGCGGCCUGGCGCGUCGCGAGUGAAAUCUCCUGGCUCAACUGGGAGGGUGGUCGCGAGACGGCUGGGCUUGAGGCUCGGUGAGGGGCGUGGAAUUCCGGGUGGAGCGGUGAAAUGCGUAGAGAUCCGGAGGAACACCGACGGCGUAGGCAGCGCCCUAGACGAGACCUGACGCUCAGGCACGAAAGCGCGGGGAGCGAACAGG